rnacentral:rRNA from 1 species
UAGGGAAUCUUCCACAAUGGACGAAAGUCUGAUGGAGCAACGCCGCGUGAGUGAUGAAGGGUUUCGGCUCGUAAAACUCUGUUGUUGGAGAAGAACGGGUGUCAGAGUAACUGUUGACAUCGUGACGGUAUCCAACCAGAAAGCCACGGCUAACUACGUGCCAGAGCCGCGGUAAUACGUAGGUGGCAAGCGUUGUCCGGAUUUAUUGGGCGUAAAGCGAGCGCAGGCGGUUUUUUAGGUCUGAUGUGAAAGCCUUCGGCUUAACCGGAGAAGUGCAUCGGAAACCGGGAGACUUGAGUGCAAAGAGGACAGUGGAACUCCAUGUGUAGCGGUGAAAUGCGUAGAUAUAUGGAAGAACACCAGUGGCGAAGGCGGCUGUCUGGUCUCAACUGACGCUNAGGCUCGAAAGCAUGGGUAGCGAACAGGAUUAGAUACCCUGGUA